rnacentral:lncRNA from 1 species
GCCUUGGUACGAGAGCCUGUUGAGCUAACCGGUUAUCUUCUAACCACGCAGGUAUCAGCGAGCCUCGGUCUCUCGCGUUCUCUGGGUUGCGGUGUUCCAGGCAUUUGGCUCUUCUCCUCUUCCUACGUUGUGAGUUUUCUUCUUCUUCCUUUUCUCAUUUUCCGGUGAGGUGCAAUUUUUCCCAUUAGCUUUCUGCGUGAAUCUUUAGCCUGGAACUGAUGUUUUUGUUCUUUGUUCCCCUUCUCCAACGCGCAAGGACCAUCGAACCUCUGUCCCUCGCGUUUCACUGGGUCUCAGUCGUCCAGAUCAGCUGCGGUGCGUUCGAUUUUCCUCCUCCUCCUCCGUUGUAAGUUUCCUUGUUCUUCCUUUACGUUGAGGUGCGGUCUUCUCUGUUAGCUUCCCCUGUAUUUUUUUUUCUUUAUUUCUUUUUUCAACUGGCUCUUGUUUUGCUCUCGGGAAAGGUUCGAUCUUGCCACCCGUUUGGAUCACCUCCUCCUCCGCCGUUUGGAUCGUGCUUCGUUGUGCCUCUCUCUGCAUUUUUUAGCCUAGAGUUGCUAUUUUUCCUCGAACCAGAGACGUCUGUUCUCCGUCACAAGCUCACCGAGAAGGACGCCAUCAUCGCCGACCUUCAGUCCCUCGAUGCCUCCCUUUC